CCUACGGGUGGCAGCAGUGAGGAAUAUUGGUCAAUGGGCGGAAGCCUGAACCAGCCAAGUCGCGUGAGGGAUUAAGGCCCUGCGGGUCGUAAACCUCUUUUGCCGGGGAGCAGUGGUCCGGACGCGUCCGGACCGGGAGAGUACCCGGAGAAAAAGCAUCGGCUAACUCCGUGCCAGCAGCCGCGGUAAUACGGAGGAUGCGAGCGUUAUCCGGAUUUAUUGGGUUUAAAGGGUGCGUAGGCGGCGCUUCAGGUCAGCGGUGAAAUACCGGGGCUCAACCCCGGGGCUGCCGUUGAAACCGGAGCGCUAGAAUUCCGAUGCCGUCGGAGGAAUGUGUGGUGUAGCGGUGAAAUGCAUAGAUAUCACACAGAACACCGAUUGCGAAGGCAUCUGACGAAUCGGAGAUUGACGCUGAUGCACGAAAGCGUGGGUAUCGAACAGGAUUAGAUACCCCAGUAGUC
rnacentral:rRNA from 1 species